ensembl:lncRNA
GUGGUUGUGGGGGGUGGUUGUGGGGUCAUUGUGGAGUCAUUGUGGGGUGGUAUUUGGUUGUAGGGUGGCUGUGGGGUCACUGUGGGGUCCUUAUGGGGUGGUUGUGGGGUCAUUGUGGGGUGGUUGUUGGUUGUAGGGUGGCUGUGGGGUCAUUAUGGGGUGGUGGCUGUGUCGUCACUGUGGGGUGGUUGUGGAGUCACUGUGGGGUCCUUAUGGGGUGGUUGUGGGGUCCUUCUGGGAUCGCUGUGGGGUCAUUAUGGGGUGGUUGUGGGGUCAUUAUGGGGUGGUUGUGGGGUCAUUGUGGGGUGGUUGGUUGUAGGGUGGCUUUGGGGUGGCUGUGGGGUCACUGUGGGGUCAUUAUGGGGUGGUUGUGGGGGGUGGUUGUGGGGUCAUUGUGGGGUGGUUGUUGGUUGUAGGGUGGCUGUGGGGUCACUGUGGGGUCCUUAUGGGGUUGUUGGUGGCUGUGGGGUCACUGUGGGGUCAUGGUGGGGUGGUUGUUGGUUGUAGGGUGGCUGUGGGGUGGUUGUGGGGUCCUUCUGGGAUCGCUGUGGGGUCCUUAUGGGGUGGUUGUGGGGUCAUUAUGGGGUGGUUGUGGGGUUGUUGGUUAUAGGGUGGCUGUGGGGCUGUUGGUUGUAGGGUGGCUGUGGGGUCACUGUGGGGUCACUGUGGGGUCACUGUGGGGUCCUUAUGGGGUGGUUGUUGGUUGUAGGGUGGCUGUGGGGUCAUUAUGGGGUGGCUGUGGGGUCACUGUUGGUCAUUAUGGGGUGGCUGUGGGGUCACUGUGGGGUCAUUAUGGGGUGGUUAUGGGGUGGUUGUUGGUUGUAGGGUGGCUGUGGGGUGGUGGUUGUGGGGCUGUUGGUUAUGGGGUGGUUAUGGGGUGGUUGUGGGGCGCUGACCCCUCGAGAGUGAGAACACAGCGGCGCCCUCUGACCCCGAGUGACCCCGAGUGACCCUUCUGACCCCACGAGACCCCCCCCAAAAUGACUGCGAGUGACCCCCAAUGACCCCACGUGACCACCAAUGACCCCAAGUGACCCCUUGACCCCACGUGACCCCCCCAAUGACCCCCCAAAUGACCCUAUGUGACCCC